rnacentral:rRNA from 1 species
AUCUAUGGCCAUGCUACCCUGAACGUGCCUGAUCCUGUCUGAUCUUGGAAGCUAAGCAGGGUUGGGCCUGGUUAGUACUUUGAUGGGAAACCACCUAGGAAGACCAGGUGCUGUAGGCA